GCCCCAGUAGCACAACAGUUAAGCAUUUGGUUGCUAACCAAAAGGUUGGCAGUUCAAACCCACCCAGUGGCU
rnacentral:tRNA from 1 species